rnacentral:rRNA from 1 species
CAGGAUGAACGCUAGCGACAGGCCUAACACAUGCAAGUCGAGGGGCAGCACAAGGAGCAAUCUGAGGUGGCGACCGGCGCACGGGUGAGUAACACGUAUGCAACCUGCCUGUAAGCGGGGAAUAACCCGUUGAAAGACGGACUAAUACCGCAUAAUACUAAAUUACUGCAUGGUAAUUUAUUUAAACAUUUAUGGCUUACAGAUGGGCAUGCGCAUGAUUAGCUAGUUGGAGAGGUAACGGCUCCCCAAGGCAACGAUCAUUAGGGGUUCUGAGAGGAAGGUCCCCCACACUGGUACUGAGACACGGACCAGACUCCUACGGGAGGCAGCAGUGAGGAAUAUUGGUCAAUGGACGAGAGUCUGAACCAGCCAAGUCGCGUGCAGGAAGAAUGUCCUUAAUGGAUUGUAAACUGCUUUUGCAGGGGAAUAAAGUGCAUCACGUGUGAUGUUUUGUAUGUACUCUGCGAAUAAGGAUCGGCUAACUCCGUGCCAGCAGCAGC